ACCUAGUCCCCAAUCUGCAUGUCUUUGGACUGUGGGAGGAAGCCGGAGUGCCCGGAGAGAACCCACGCUGACAUGGGGAGAACAUGCAAACUCCGCAUAGAAGGGCUCCCACGCCUGGGAUCGAACCGGCAACCCUCUUGCUGUGAGGCGAGAGUGCUAACCACCACCCCACUGUGCCGCCCAGGGGGGGACAUGUCUCCCUCAAUGUAUAUGGUGACUACGGCCCUGUCAUGCAUGCAUAAUUAGGCUACAGUUGUCUGGGUGCGCAAAGGUGAAGUGCGCUUGUCUUGUCAUACAAGGUUUGAUGGAGUGUCAACUGGACAAUAUGGAGAUAUUUGCAUCUUGAAAGCCGGACUACAAAUGUUGAUAGAUAGGGAGAAACACAUGCAAGCCUAAGACGUGGUAAGAUACGAUAUUCCUCACUAUAUGAAGUGACUGAUAACAAGAUCUGUAUAAUGGAUUGUAAAGAAAUUUGUCAGGUUUUUAUUUUGUAGACACUUGAUCUGUAUUUAUAGGGUGAUGGGAUGACAGCACAGUGAUGUGUGUGGAAUCACUGGAAAGCUCUGCUCCUGCACUUUCAUGUGAUAAGCGUGGCAUUUCUGUGCGACCCUGCAUUCGCGAGUAAUCCAUCCAAGAGUAAUGUGUGUGCAAAGCUGUAUGAAAGCUCUGUUAUACAUAAUUUUAGUGUAACUUUAUCAUUUUUUUUCGCUGUGAAAACAUUGGACUACCGACAAGUGGUCUUGUCGGAAAGCUACAAUUCCGUUGUUUCAUGUGACGUGCGUGGCUUCUCGCUAUAACGCACAGUCGCGGAGAAAAUCAAUAGAGAAGAACAGGUGUGAAUUUGGACGCACUAUGCGUCAUUCGGGCCCAUAGGGUUAAACCAGAAUAGGUAGGUACUAUUAAAUAAUGGCUGUGCUCAAAUAGUCCUUUUUGCUUGAGAAGGAUCCAAACUGAGUGAAAGGUAGUAUCUAAGUAGCUGCCAUGAUAAGAGCUGUUCGAAUUCUUUUAACAUUAGGAAAAGGUGCUUCACAAUGCUUCCUUUAUAAUCUCUUUUAGCAUAGGACACCCUGGACCAUCCUUUAUGAAAGGAAAGAGGAUCAUGCCAUCCCAAAAUUCCUUGUGGCAGCAACAUUUAAAGUGACGUGCCAUAUCAACCAUUCUUUGGGCAAUCUAUUUUGAUACACUACACAUCCACAGCCUGUAUCAGCCAUUACAUCUUCAAACCACAAUCAUGUCAACAUGAAAGGUAUUUACUGAGUUGUAUGGUAGUUCUUGAGCUAUUAUAUGUAUAAGGCUGAUUAUCACAUCUUUUCCCUUAAUCUAACCUUUAAAACCUGUACUUCUAAUAGUCCAUAUUCUGGACAUCAUUUGUUUACCAAAGGUUUGCUUUGGGAAUUCCAAUAACAUUCACCGUAGCAUAAUUAUGGAGCCUAGUGUAAAUGCAGUCGGAUUCUCUAAGCACAGCGGCUGUCUUUUCCUAAGAACGCAUUCACACUGGCGCCAUUUGGUCUGCUUUAAACAAACCCUGGUCCGCUUCCACGGAUAGUUCGGUUCGUUUGGAGUGGUGUGAACGCUCAUUCGAACUCUGGUGCAGACCAAACGAGCAAACCCUGGUCUGCUUGGAAACUGGGGGUCUCGGUUCACUUGCAAGUGAACCCUGGUGCGGUUGGCUUACAGUGAGAAAUGCAAAUGGACAAUCCAGCAAACCAAAGAGAGGAAGUGAACCAAAGAGAGGAAGGGACGUAGAGCGCAGUGCAUUUUGGGUAGAAAAAAGACGAAGCAGAGGUAAAAAAAAGAAAACACUGGAAAAUGUCUCGUGGGCAGACAUGGAGUAGUUAGGAGGCACAGACACUUACUGAUAUUAUGGUCAGAAGACUAUAUAUAUCACAGUUGCUGGCUGCUGGCUGAAGGGGAUGGAUUUCUGUUCUACUUGACUGGGCACUACUUUCACAGUAACAUGUGACUCUGUGAUGUCACCAAGCAAACUUAAGGAGAUACUUCUGCCCUCCGUUAUUCUUGCUCUUUCGUACUUUACUGCUGCUGGAUUUCCCAUUCGUUUCCUACAUUAGUUGCUCCAGAAAAACCUGGAUACGGUGAGGCUGACGCAGAGAGGAAACACGUUGACCUGGUGUGGGUGAGUAUGUUUCUGCAUUUUCAAGUGGGCUGAAGUGGGAGUUUUUAUUUUACUGCUUUAUAUACAGAUUAUCAGACAGUAUAGGGACAUGGCAAGCAGAUUGACAGGGUUUAUAUGAUCUGCAGUUUAUUUAUGCAUAGUUAACACAUUAAGUUGAAAUAUGUCUAAUUAGAUUUCAAUUCAAAUUUGAGAUACUUAUGAUUAAAUUCUGGUAUGAAUAAACUAUAAAGUACCAUGGAGAAUUUAUCUAAAGAUACCCAAAAUAUUUUGAGACUUUAUUUUGGAUAUCUCCAUUUAAAUUGUCAAUCAAUCAAUCAAUCAAUCAAUCAAUCAAUCAAUCAAUCAAUCAAUCAAUCAACAGUCAAACCAAAUUUAUUUAUAUAGCACUUUUCAUACAAACAGAAUGCAACACAAAGUGCCUCACACAAUAAAAAAAAUACCCCCAAAUAAAUUCUGAGGCACACAGGAAGCCAAUGCAGAGACUUGGUGUAACGUGAACUCUCUUUCUGGUCCUCAUCAGCACACGUGCAGCUGAGUUUUGUAAUACCUGUAACUGAGCAAUGUUUUUCUUGGAAAGAACAGCAAGUACAGCAUUACAGUAAUCAAUUCUAUAGGUGACAAAACCAUGCAUUAGUAUCUCUGUGUUGGCUUGGGAGGGAAACGGUUGCACUCUGGCAUUGUUCUUGAGGUGAUAAAAUCCAAUUUUUUUAUUUUUUUUUAUUAUACUUCUAAUAUGUGGUUCACUACUAAGAUUCGAAUCAAAGAUAAUUCCAAGGUUUUUCACUUGUUGACAGGGUUUUCAUGCCAGUUCUUGAAGUUUCGAGUUGAGUUUCUCUCUCUGAGCUUCAGGACUUGAUAUCUAAAAUACAGUUAAAAAGGGCAUCAAGUGGACCUGAGUCCUUAGGAGACACAGCAGUAUACAGCUGUGUAUCAUCAGCAUAACUAUGGAAACUGAUGCCAUGCCUCCUGAUGAUGUUCCCAAGUGGCAGCAUGUAAAGAUUAAAAAGUUUUGGACCUAAAAUUGAACCAACCAGAUUGUGAUGUCUAGCUUAAAGGACUGAGUGGUGGACUGUAUCAAAGACUGCAGUAAGAUCAAAUAGUAGUAAUACAGAGGGUUUUUUCAUGUCCAUAGUUGACCUCAGGUCAUUAACAACCCUGACCAGUGCCAUCUCUGUGCUUUGAUUGGCUUGAAUGUCAGACUGGUAUUUUUCAAAAAUCUUGUUAGAGACCAUAAAAUCAUUUAACUGAUUAAAAACAAGCUUGUCUAAAAUUGUACUUAAAAAUGGCUGUUUAGACACUAGUCUAUAGUUGCUAAAUACCGAGGCGUCUGAAUUAUUUUGUUUCAAAAGAGGCUUAACCAUGGCAGUUUAAAAAGCAGCAGGGAAAACAUCCAUCUGAAGCAAAUAAUUGUGGGAAUGGGAUCUAAAAGGCAGGUUGCUAGUUUUAAAUGAGAAGUUAAUUUUCCCAAGCAUUUCAGCAUCAACCAGGACAAACUUCUCUAGUGUUUCCUCACAUAAAAACAAAGGCUCAGGGGUGUUAAAAUUCAUUGGCUGAGACUGACAUAAAUUAAAUCUAAUAGUUUCUAUUUUAUUACUGAAGUGAACUGCAAAUUCUUCACAUUUUAAGUUGGUUGACAUACUGCUGGACAUAAAAACUGGGUUAAUUAAGCAAUGGUUGAAAAAAAUAAUUUUUGGGUUGUUCCAGUUGUGAUCAGUUUUGAGAAAUGUGCCUGUCUUGCAUAUUUAACUGCUUUAUUUUAUAGUGAGUUGAUCUCAGAAGAUUUGGUAGUUGUCACAACUGCCUCCAGAUGUUAGUGUUUUGUGUUUGUCUUCGUCAUUUCUGGUUUUAUUUUGGUAUUAUCCCUCCUGUGUCAUGUCUGGUGUCUUUACUUCCUCCUGUGUGAUUGCCUCCCUCCUCCCUAAUGUGUUCACCUGUGUCUCGUUAACCUGCCUCUCUGUAGUAUAUAUGUUUGUUAUCAAUUCCAGAGAGAGAGAUACUUACCAGUGUUUUCUGCCUGCCUUCUUGUGAGAGAUCUGUUUGUGACCCAUUUCCUGAGACCUGCCUGUUCCCUGUCGGUACUGUCGCCAGUUCCCUGUUCAGCCUGUGUAUGAUCCUGCCUGCUCUCACGUCUGUACCUCUGCAUUACUCUCUGGAUUCCUGGUUCUGACUCUGCCUGCCUGACCAACGUCUCUCGUCUGACCCCUCCCGUUGGAUUCCCAGCCUGUUUCCUUCGGGCCUGCCAGCUCCCCAGGAACCCCUAUUCAGUAUUUUUUGAGGUGUUUAAUAAACUGUGUGUAACUUUGAACGUGUCUAUCUGGUCGUGCUUUUGGGUCCAACCUCCUGUGCUCAGUUCUGACAGUAGUUGAUCAUUUGCUCAUUCAUUCUCAAUCUUCUUUCUGCUAUCUGAUAGUUUCUCUUUAAUUGUUUGACUUCUUUGUUUCUCCGGGGGGUUUUAGUGGGGCUGUACUGACCAUGCAGCGCAUGUACCUAAGUCCCCCAAUAAAAACUACAAGGCUUGACUUUUCUUGUGUUUUACCGGUCUUCUUUGUUUAUUUGCUUUUUGCUUUUUAAAACUGAGGAACAUAGCAGAAACAAGAACAUAGAUUUGCAUUACAUAAAACACAUCACUAUGAGUCAUCAAUCAAUAACUGAACAGACCUACAGCCUGUUGCUAGCUAGCGGAGCACAUGUUCUACAAAAAUAAUCACAUUAAUCUCCACUCUGCUAUUUAAAAUAAAAACACAAACGUCUACUAAUGUACAGAGUAUUACAGAAUAAUUCACAGAAUACUUACAGAUAAAUAUUCUCCAAGGCUGAAGUGCAGAAAACUCUCAGCAUAACAUGAAUGUGGCUGUCUGCCUGGCCUGUGUGAGCUCCAGCAAGAUGCAGGCCAAACUAAUGCCGCAUUCGUUUGGUAGCUGGAACCGGGAUUGAUACGAUUUCCAGUCCGGAAAGGUACAAAAGAACACCCGUUCUACCCGGAGGUCUCGUCAUCAAACUCGGGCAAGGUCCAGGUAGACCGAGUCGGUAGAAUUGACGUCACGACGAAGAUGGCUGCGCACAUUGUGAAUGGUAAACAAAGUUAUUUGUCCUCAAUUUGUCCUCGUAUAUGUUGUUUAAUUAAGCGUUUGUGUUGUAAAAAUCAUACAAGUACUUUGCAAUGGCAUUUCUAUUUCCACUGUGAUUUGUGUUGGAAAAAAAGUCUGUGCAAGCCCGUUGUAGCCUAAAGUCAUUUGAACCAGCAAAGUCUAUGGCUAGACUACAUUGUAGGCUAUUCUCUUUCUGCUCCUAUGUAGAAUAGCUUCAUUUUUCAUUGCACCUAUGAUCAUCUUAAGCAUUUAAAAUGCAUGUUCAGGUGUUUAUCACCAGUGUUCAUUUCCAGAGCUUGUGUACAUGUCUUGUAAAGUCAGCCUAGUAGGUUGAAACAAGUGUAAAAUGGAUGAGGUGGAUAGAUAUACAUGCAAGGACCAGGCUAAAAUGGAAUGUGUCUUUCUUUACCUCUGUUGUUACAGUAUACGCAGAUGAAAAUUCUACUCUAUUUCUUGAUCGAGCGCUGAGCAAGCCCCUGAACCGCCUCCUUUAUCGAACAGCUUCAGACCCCCAUACCCUCUUUCUGGGCGAACAAAUGACUGUUCGGUUUGAAAUACAUUUACCUGGGCUGCAAAAUGCUGCUGACGGUGCCAGUGGGGAGGCAAUGGAGGCGCAAAGUGACCCGACAAGUCCCACAGAGCCUCCAAAUGAAACAAUGCAGAACAAUGAAGAGUCCAAUAAGGAGGCAAUGGAGGAGCAAAGUGACCUGUCCACAGAGGUUCCAAAUGUACCCAUGCAUGUGAAUGAAGUGUUCACUAGGGACCAAACUUUGUUCCUCAUAGAUUUGAUGAGGCACAGGAUGGAAGAGGAUGGGGGGGACUUACCGAGGUCCUUGAAGGAGCUCAAUGCCAGGGUGAGGCUGGGAAAAGGGUCCAAGAAGCAAAUGUGGCAAGAAAUGGCUGCCAAACUUACCAACCAUUUCGGUGUUGUUUUUGGGCCUGACAAGGUUGCCAGAAAAUGGGGGACCUUGGAGGAGAGCUAUAAAUGGAUCAAAGACAACAACCGCACAAUGGGCCAGGGGACGAUGUGGUUCCAGUUUUACGCGCAGAUGGAGGAACUGUUGGGCGGCCACCAUGACGUUACUUAUCCUGCUGUGGGUACAGCUCAAGGAUCAGAAAUCAGGAGACCUUAAGAUCUGCGUCUCCCAGACCCGUCCAGCCGUCCCCCAGGCUCCUCCACCAGUCUGCCAGGCUCCUCCACCACUUUGCCAGGUUCCUCCACCACUUUGCCAGGCGCCUCCACCACUCUGCCAGUCUUCUUCAGCCGCCCCCCAGGCUCCUCCACCACUCUGCCAGUCUUCUUCAGCCGCCCCCCAGGCUCCUCCACCAGUCUGCCAGGCUCCUCCACCACUCUGCCAGGCUCCUCCAGCCGUCACCCCUAUAGACGUCGACGGCCAGAGAAAAUUCCCCUCGCUGGAGUCAUUCGAGAAGUGGAGGCUGCAAGCCAACAAAGACAUUUGGAGCUCAUGGCCCUGUUGACGCACUCCAGUGAAUCAUUUGAAAAUCUCAUGGGUCGUUUUCUUGACAAAGACUGAACCCAGGAAGAAUCCUCAUUAUAAACAGUAUUUGUCUGGUACACAGUGUGUUAAUCAUCCUAAUUUAUUUAAGAUAUUUUACUUUUUACUCUGCUUUUUUCAAGAACUAUCUUAUUUCUAACCACGUGUGCUGUUUUUUAUUUAAUAAAAUACUUCAGUCAACAUUCAUCGGACAAUCUUUUAUUCCAUUUUUGUGAGAAGAAAAUGAAGGAACAAUUCUUUUGAUCCAAAAAUACAGGGUGCUUUUCAAAACAAUAUAAAUGACUUUUUAUAUAUUUAUCAGGAGUGCUCUGUUUUCCUGUUUUUUCAAAAGGCAACAUAAUUUUGGGCAACAUAAAUCACACAACCACAACACAUUCCUGGCUCAUUGUGACAAAACAAUUCAUGAAUGCAAAAAUUUAAUAACGAAAAUCAUAAUUUAGCUAUUCAUUAUCAUCGCCAUCUCUUGGGCAGCCGUGUGGAUGGUCUUCACACACUUCUUUGGGGUCUGCACAGAGAUUGUGGAGGAUGCAGGCAGUAAUUCUGGAGUUCUCGGACUCUUCUCCACCGACACUUCAUCCUACCAAUGGUCUGCUCCACAAUCACUCUGCCCCUGCUGAUUUGAAAGUUCCUUGCUAUGUCCACAGCUGACAGAGCCCCAUUAUCUCUUUGAGGUGAACAAACAAAGGAGUAGGCAUUCCCGCAGUAAGCACUAUCCCCCAGCAGCUGGUACUCUCCCAUCUUCUCCUCCCAAGUUGUAUAAAUGGUGGAAGAGCGCAGCAUUCGUGCAUCAUGCACCCAACCUGGUGGUCCGACAAAUAUGUCUACAAACCUUCCCCUUUCAUUCACAAUCCCCUGUAGGAGGACCGAGUAAAACCCUUUCCUGUUGAGGUAGUCGCUGCCCCGGAGGAUGGGCCUCUGUAUUUUAAUGUGGCACCCAUCGAUGGCACCAAUAAUGCCAGGGAUGCCACAGACCCUGGAAAUUGCAGCAGCAGACAAUCUCUUCUCACACUCACUGGGCCAGGAGAUGAAGGAGGGGGUAAGGGAACAGAGUGUGCUGAGUAGCUCAACAAUGCACUUAUGAGCUUUACUCUGUGACACAUUAAACUUAUCAGAGAUUUCUCUGAAUGAAUUUUGGUUCCCCAUAUACCACAAAAACAUUAUAAGUCUGUGGUGAAGGGGAACUGCAGGUCGGCCUCCAAAAUGAGGGGCCUGGUGUUGUUUGUUGACUCUGUUGUUGUUGUUGUUGGUGUAGCUGGUCCAGUAGGAAAUCAAAUUGGGCCCAGGUCACCCUAAGAUGCCGGCAGAAUGAAUGUUCAUCCAUUUCCAGAAAGAUUUCCCAUUCUCUACCCGUCUUUAACACAGAGUGUCUGAUGGAUAACUGGGACAGCACAUACCUGCAAGGCAACAACUACUACUACUUCUACUACUACUACUACUACUACUACUAAUAAUAAUAAUAGGGCUACUUUUUAUAAUAAUAAUAAUAAUAAUAAUAAUAAUAGGGCUAAUAUUUUUGCACUUGCUGUCUUUAUUAAAAGUGCAGUUUGGAGGUCUUUUCGUAAUGAAACGGAAAGUGCAGACCAAAGUCAGUUCAUUAAGCACGGGUUUCAAUACACAGGAACAGAUAUUCAUAGAUCCUUUGUGCUAGCACAUACAGUAGAGCUAAAUAGGAAUGCAUUGUUUAACACAUUCACAGGAAAGAUGUUAGAGUCCUUGCGCUGUAGGUUACAAUAUCAUACAUGGUCAUUCAAAGUGCUUUAUGCAUGUCAUGCAAAACACUGAUAAGGCUAUCUCAACAUAUUUCUGACAGCCUACACACUUUUUAGCUGAGUGGUUAUUGGAAAACUUUGGCCUUACAGCAUGAUGC